rnacentral:rRNA from 1 species
GCUGGCAGCAUCUAACUGGUCUUGAGUGAUCUUGUAAAGCUAAGGAAGGGUAGACCUGAUUGGCACUUGGAUGGGAGACCUCCAGGAAAUCCCUGGGUUGCAAGCU